CUGUUUACUGAUGAAAGGUUUGAGCAGUAUUUUUAUUUCCUGUUGACUUCUUUAAUUUCAUGAGUUAAUCAAGUGCCUGAUCACAAAGACAUUUUUAAGACAGCUGAGAUUGGACAACACUAUAUUUCACUGUUCAUUGUACAUCAAAGAAUAACUCAAUGGAAAGCCAAACCCCUCCUGACACAGGAUGUUUUUAAGUAAAACUUUCCAUUGACGUGAACCAAUCAGAUAAGAGCCGCUGGUCUGCAUGAAGACCCUCAGCAGUGUCAGUAAUUCACAAUCACUCACUGCCAUGGAGAGGCCACGACUUACUCUCAUCGCACUCAUGUGUAAGAAUAAUUAUACUUAAACUGUUUUGAGAUUUAAAUAUAUAAAUAAUUUUUCAGUAAUAUGCUCAGUGUUUGAGUAUGUGAAAUUACAAGUGCUUGACAGUUAUUUGUCUGCUUUUAUAGUUACUUUAAUUAGUCACAAACAAAUCUCUGGAGAAGAAGUGGUGAUAAACGUCAGAGCAGGAGAAAACAUCACUCUUUACUGUGAUCGCUCAGUUAUUUAUGGCUUCAUGAUUGUGUGGAUAAGAAACUGCUCUCAUAAAAACCAGCCCUCUUUAGUGAUGGAUUAUAGAAUAUUUGAUACAAUUAAGCAUUUCAGAUUCGUCCACAACCCUGCCAGUAAUUCCUAUGAUCUACACAUUAUUAACAUCAGUGUCUCUGAUCUGGGGCUGUACUACUGUGCAAAUGUGAAAAACUCCAUCAAUAAGAAUGAAAGAGGCGUCAUCUCUGGAUCUGCAGUGUACAAUAAUGGAAACCGAACAACACGUCUCUCUUUUGCUGGUAAGAAAUAACUUCUGCUGGUUGUUUUGUAGUUUCUGGAGAGCUUUCCAGGAAGCAAGACAAACAGAACAAACAUAUUUUAAUGAACAUUCAUUGAUUCAUUUGUGUUUGUUUCAUCUUGAGAAAGAGACGUCCUGUUCUGAGCUCUUGAACAGCACCUCCACUCCUCCUGCUGUCUCAAAGUGUGUGUUCUGCUGGAAUCUGCUGUUUAGUGUGUGUUCGCUGUGUGUUCUCCUCUUCUCCAUCUGUGUCUACUGCCUCUGUCAGAAGAAAACUACAGGUUCUCCACAUGAUCAAAAAUGCAAGCUAAGAGGUGCAAGAUUUGCAGAGGGGAAUAAUGAACAAGAGUUGUGUUAUGUAUCUUUGGAUGUGAGGACCAGAAGACAAAUACAACACAAAAAAACACAAGACCGAAGUUCUGAGUUCAGUAUAUAUUCUCAGGUCAAUUACAAAACUUAAUAGAUUAGAAAAUUACAUGUACCAUAAUCUUGUUAAUGGCAGGUUUUUCUAGUUCGGGUAAGGACAUCUAUGCUGGAUCAUAGUUUGAAUUCAAAAGAAUUAGCAAAUUUGCUGAAGGUUGGGAAAUUCGUUUUACAAUUUUGGUUCUGCCUUAAAUAAAAUCAAAUAAAAUAUAAUUGAAUACAAGUGUAGUAAGAUGCAUACCUUAUUUUCGUUGUGUUUUUUCCUCACAAUGUGAUGCACAAAGUUUAUGUAUGACCUGCCAUUGUAUUAUUGGUUUAGAUUUUUUCAUUACAUUAAAUGCCUUUAUUGCUGUUUCUUUUUCUCAGCUAUUUUGUUUUUGUAUCUGUUAUUAAAUCUCUGA